UCUAGCCACCUGCUUCUGCCUCUGCAGCCCCACGUGUACGGCGCAACUUCCCCACUUCCAGGGCCACCUAAGCCGCGCAUGGCAGCCAGCCGUGUCCCAUCGCCCAACCCGAAGUCCCAAAAGCGCGGACCGGAGGUCUUUCUCUAGAGGACAAGCACGCACCAGCACACGCCUCACUUCCCCCCUUCUGUCAUUUAAAGUAUGAAGCAGCCAGCAGAGAGAAGUCUCUUUUCAGCGAGUUCUCGCUACAGCGCUUUCUGCCUCGGUGACCGAAGGGGAUUUCGAAGGAAGUCAAGGCACUGAUGAAAAUGAACGAACAUUUAUGACCGGCCAUCUGUUCUGUCAAUUAAACCCUCCCCAAACCAAGUUAUUUGUUCUUACGUAACUAACCUGCAGGGGCGAAAGAGACGCAUGCACAAGGUGUCUACCGUAAACACGUUUAUAUGCUUAAAAAAUAAAAAUGAAGACCCACGCUGCCCUGA